rnacentral:rRNA from 1 species
GACGAACCGAGCGAACGUUGUUCGGAAUCACUGGGCUUAAAGGGCGCGUAGGCGGGCUGUCAAGUCUGGGGUGAAAUCCCGCGGCUCAACCGUGGAACUGCCUCAGAUACUGACGGUCUCGAGGGGGAUAGGGGCGAGCGGAACUGUGAAUGGAGCGGUGAAAUGCGUUGAUAUUCACAGGAACUCCGGUGGCGAAGGCGGCUCGCUGGAUCUCUUCUGACGCUGAGGCGCGAAAGCUAGGGGAGCAAACGGG